UACGAAGGGGGCGAGCGUUGUUCGGAAUUACUGGGCGUAAAGGGCGCGUAGGCGGCCGAUCAAGUCAGAUGUGAAAUUCCUGGGCUCAACCUGGGGGCUGCAUUUGAUACGUUCGGACUAGAGUGGGGAAGAGGGUCGUGGAAUUCCCAGUGUAGAGGUGAAAUUCGUAGAUAUUGGGAAGAACACCGGUGGCGAAGGCGGCGACCUGGUCCUUGACUGACGCUGAGGCGCGAAAGCGUGGGGAGCAAACAGG
rnacentral:rRNA from 1 species